rnacentral:rRNA from 1 species
UACGAAGGGGGCUAGCGUUGUUCGGAAUCACUGGGCGUAAAGAGCUCGUAGGUGGUUUGUCGCGUUGUUCGUGAAAACCGGGGGCUUAACCCUCGGCGUGCGGGCGAUACGGGCAGACUUGAGUACUGCAGGGGAGACUGGAAUUCCUGGUGUAGCGGUGGAAUGCGCAGAUAUCAGGAGGAACACCGGUGGCGAAGGCGGGUCUCUGGGCAGUAACUGACGCUGAGGAGCGAAAGCGUGGGGAGCGAACAGG